rnacentral:misc_RNA from 1 species
AAUUUCUCUUCAUUUUCAGACCCAUUAGUAAAGCUUUUAUUCUGAGAAGAAGACAAAUUGCUAUUAUUAUUGUUGGUAUUGUUACCAUUUAAACCACCCACCACAGCAUGAUGAUGAUGAUCUUCAGUCUCCUGGAUCAAACCCGAGAAUCCAUUUUCCUCCUUAGCUUGAAAAUAAUCUGUAAAACCAUGAUAACUGCCCAUGUUUAGUGACGUGGUUGUUGCUG